rnacentral:rRNA from 1 species
GACGAACGCUGGCGGCGUGCCUAAUACAUGCAAGUCGAGCGAGCGAGAGAGAGCUUGCUUUCUCAAGCGAGUGGCGAACGGGUGAGUAACGCGUGAGGAACCUGCCUCAAAGAGGGGGACAACAGUUGGAAACGACUGCUAAUACCGCAUAAGCCCACAGGUCGGCAUCGACCAGAGGGAAAAGGAGCAAUCCGCUUUGAGAUGGCCUCGCGUCCGAUUAGCUAGUUGGUGGGGUAACGGCUCACCAAGGCGACGAUCAGUAGCCGGUCUGAGAGGAUGAACGGCCACAUUGGGACUGAGACACGGCCCAA